AACGAACGCUGGCGGCAUGCCUAACACAUGCAAGCCGAACGAGACCUUCGGGUCUAGUGGCGCACGGGUGCGUAACGCGUGGGAACCUGCCCUUCGGCUCGGAAUAACUCCCCGAAAGGGGUGCUAAUACCGGAUAAUGUCUUCGGACCAAAGAUUUAUCGCCUUUGGAUGGGCCCGCGUUGGAUUAGCUAGUUGGUAGGGUAAAAGCCUACCAAGGCGACGAUCCAUAGCUGGUCUGAGAGGAUGAUCAGCCACACUGGGACUGAGACACGGCCCAGACUCCUACGGGAGGCAGCAGUGGGGAAUAUUGGACAAUGGGCGAAAGCCUGAUCCAGCAAUGCCGCGUGAGUGAUGAAGGCCUUAGGGUUGUAAAGCUCUUUUACCCGGGAUGAUAAUGACAGUACCGGGAGAAUAAGCUCCGGCUAACUCCGUG
rnacentral:rRNA from 1 species